ACAGAAGGGUGCGAGCGUUGUCCUGGAAUCACUGGGGCGUAAAGGGCGCGUAGGCGGUUUUGUAAGUCGGGGGUGAAAUGCUGCGGCUCAACCGCAGCGCUGCCUUCGAGACUGCAAGACUGGAGCACGGUAGAGGCGGAUGGAAUUCCCGGUGUAGCGGUGGAAUGCGUAGAGAUCGGGAAGAACACCAAUGGCGAAGGCAGUCCGCUGGGCCGUUGCUGACGCUGAGGCGCGACAGCGUGGGGAGCAAACAGGAUUAGAUACCCUGGUAGUCCACGCCGUAAACGAUGGGCACUAGGCGUCGGGGGGAGCGACCCUCCCGGUGCCGUCGCUAACGCAGUAAGUGCCCCGCCUGGGGAGUACGGCCGCAAGGUUG
rnacentral:rRNA from 1 species